UACGUAGGGUGCAAGCGUUGUCCGGAAUUAUUGGGCGUAAAGAGCUCGUAGGCGGCUUGUCACGUCGGCUGUGAAAACCCGGGGCUCAACCCCGGGCCUGCAGUCGAUACGGGCAAGCUAGAGUUCGGCAGGGGAGACUGGAAUUCCUGGUGUAGCGGUGAAAUGCGCAGAUAUCAGGAGGAACACCGGUGGCGAAGGCGGUUCUCUGGGCAUGUCCUGACGCUGAGGAGCGAAAGUGUGGGGAGCGAACAGG
rnacentral:rRNA from 1 species